CCCUAACUGCCUCAAGAGUUACAAAGAUGAAUGAAACACAAUCUCUGGUCUCAAAAUCCCUGGAAAAUUAGAAAUUAUCCCAGAGCCCAGACAGAGUAAGUUCCCUUCCAGUAUCCUAAGUUUAAGAUCCUCCAAAGUAUUCUGAAAUCUUUACAGCCUCUUGGUUCCCUUCUUCCUUUCUUCCUGCCUCUAAGUUCUAGUUCUUUGUUAUGACACACAUUCCAGAACUUUCACAGGCCAUACUCCUGUAGUCUGCUUAGGUCUGAUCAACCUGAGCCACACGAUUCCUCUGUGACUCUCUGCAUCCUUGUUUACAAGGGCCUCCCCAACAUCCAAGUUCAUACUGCUCAGAAACAGUGAGCUUGGGGUGUUUGUUUUAUCUUGAUUGCCCUCUGACAAAGAAAUCCAGAUGACACAGAACCCACUGAGGACAAUACCUGGAACAUGGCAGUCUUGGAAAUAGUUUUGGCUGUUAUCCUGACUCUACUGGGAUUUGCCAUUCUCGCUAUUUUGUUAACAAGAUGGACACGGCGCAAGCGAAAUGAAAUUGAUAUCUCAAGAUACAGUUCUGAACAAAGUGCUGGUCUGUUGGACUAUGAGGAUGACAGAGAUUUUUCUUCUCCAAGAGCUAAACGAGGAAGAGGAUUCCAGAAUUUAUACUCAACAGAAAGUGACAUUUCAUAUGAUGAUCGAGAGGGAUACAACAGAAAUUAUAUGCCAUCAACCAGCUCCCUCGGUAAGUUCUUUGUGACUUUCUUUCAAUUCUACUCUCAUCUGGUUUGCAAGUCCUGAAGUUCCUGUAUUUGAUUUUUUCUCUUAAAGAAGUUUUAAAAAUAAAGGAUACAAAUAAUUAACACUUGUAAACCCACACCCUAAAUUUGAUAACUGGUAUUAUUUUUGUCUUAAUUCUUAACUGGCAGGUAGAAAUCUUAUGUCUCCAUUUAUAGAUCUAUUCUACUCUCUCCUCUUCCCAAAGAGUUAUAAGUGUAUUAUAAAUCUUUUAUUUAUUUUCACAUAUUUAUAUAAUCUCUCUGUAACACUUAACACAUAGUAUUGUUUUGCAUACAUUUUUUAAAAUUUUACUAAAAUGGCAUCAUUCUAAAACCAUCAUUACAACCUGCUUUUUCCCCAAAAAACAUGGUAAUACUGAAAUAUAUAGAAAUCCAAAUUAUGCAUUUUAAUCAUUGAAUGAUAUUCUAGCUUACAAAUAUACAUUAUUUUUCUUUUUUCCCCUACUGGUACAUUCUUAACAUUUCCAAUUUCUUCUGUCACAAAUAAUACUAUAAAAUGUCCUUCUGUAAGGGGAAAAUAGUUUAUUCAAGGUACCUACCCUGAAGUGAGAUGAAUGAAUCACACUGUGUAUGAACAUUCACGUAAGUUAGGGAUAUUUUAAGUUUACUAUUGUGUGAGUUCCAUGGUAGUUACACAUAGCAAAAUGUGCUAUGUGUGAAGCAUAGCAAAAUGUAUAAAAGUUUCCCAUUUCCCUGCAUCAAUUCAAACCUAGAUUUUGUCAUACUUUUACACUACUGCCACUUUGAUAAGUUAAAUUACUUUUUUACAGUCAUAGAUGUAUAUAAAUAUUUGGGCAUCUUUCAGGCUUAGCAUUGCUGGCUUCAUCCUGUGCCUUUCUUCUUUUACUUUGGCCCAAAGACAAUCCUUUAGUGGUUCUUUAAGCCCCAUGUGUGUGUAAAAAUUUUUCUAAGCCUUUGUAUGACUGAAAAUAGUUUUUCUUCACCCUCAGCCUUAAACAAGAGUUAAGCUGAGUAAAUAAUUAACAAUUAUUUUUUCUCACACUUUGAAGAUUUAUUCCAUUGUCUUCUGGCAUUUACUAUUGCUGAUAAGAAUAUGCUACUAUUUUGAUGACUGUACCUAAGUAAAUAUGGUUUUAAGAUUUUAUCCUUACCGUCUGCAUUUUAAUUUAUACAUAUAUUAAUUAAAUAUAUAUAUAUAAGCCACUGGCUUCCCCAGUGGCUCAGCAGCAAAGCAUUCACCUGCAGUGUAGGAGCUGCAUCUAUCUAACAAACUAUAGUCUCUUCUUCUAAAAUAACUGUCAAAUAUGUGUAAAGACUCUCCUCACAGCUUCAGGUCUGGUAAUGUCUCUUUCAUAUUCCUCAUUUGCAUUAGUUAACUCCAGCUCCUAUAAUAGGUAAAUCUUAGAAUUUCAGUGAUUCUAAUCAUAAAAUCCCAUUAUUCUGUAAUAUCAAAUAUGCCUGGUUCAUGUUUAGCUCUUCUGUUAGCAAUGACUUAAGCAUUCAAGUUCAUUCUAUAUCUCCACCAUCUUUACCUUAUGGCUUCUAAGUUCAUCUUGCCUACCUUGAGUGAGCAGAGGAGAAAAGCUUUUAGAUCAUGAGUGGGAGACUUUUAUGGAUAAGCCUGGAUGUUGUCACACAUCACUUCCAAAUAAUUGGCUAGAAUUCAAUCAUAUGUCUAAACCUAAUGGCAAGGGAAUCUGGGGGCAAUAGUCUAACCAUGCUGUAUUAAUUUUCUAUUGCUAUUAUAACAAAAUGCCACAAAUUUAAUGGCUUCAAACAAAACAAAUU
rnacentral:lncRNA from 1 species